rnacentral:rRNA from 1 species
UACCAGCACCCCGAGUGGUCGGGACGAUUAUUGGGCCUAAAGCAUCCGUAGCCGGUCAUGCAAGUCUUCCGUUAAAUCCAGCCGCUCAACGGUUGGGCUGCGGAGGAUACUACGUGGCUAGGAGGCGGGAGAGGCAAGCGGUACUCAGUGGGUAGGGGUAAAAUCCUUUGAUCCAUUGAAGGCCACCAGUGGCGAAGGCGGCUUGCCAGAACGCGCUCGACGGUGAGGGAUGAAAGCUGGGGGAGCAAACCGG